rnacentral:lncRNA from 1 species
AAACCCUACAUCAUGUCAUAAUUUCACAAACUGCUGCAUCUUUUCACUGAAUUGUAACAUUAACCAUUUCAAACUAUGCCUUAUCUUAACUCAAGCUGAACCUAAUGUUAAUACGUUUGCUGCUUGAUAACAAUUGAAUAAUUAUUACAGUGUCAUCUUUUGUUUUUUGACAAUGACACUCUAAAUGUUUCAUCUCUAUUUUUCCAUUUCCCCUCCUAGUGACUCUACCUUGUGUUUAAGUGCAGACCGCUUGCCAGUCAGUGUAAGUUUAUACAUGAAUGACAUUUUUAUGAAUAUCACUGUGUGCCUUUAUUGUACACAUUUUACACACACCUCUCUUUCUGUAGUUUGUACAGAAUUAAGGUUACUUUCAUACACAUGAUAUUUGAUCACAUGCUUAUGAACAUUAUUAUUAAGGCAAUUAACAUUGACUCAUAUAAGCAUUCAAGAUAAGUGGGUGAUACAUCUUUUGGUAAAAUACACUGAGCUCGUACAUACAUUUCUUCAUCUAUUUAGUAACAUUUUAGAUGUUCAGUCCUGAUACAUUUUUGAAAAGAUGAUCAAAUAACAAUGCUCAGUUUCAGCAUUUGACUCAACUACACUUUGAAUAGAUGUGUAUUCAGAAUUCCCAUAUGUUACUUUGAAUGAAAGCACAUUAUAAUGACAUUAGUUUCGGGUGAAUGUCGGUUGAUUUAAAUGUUUUUAUUAUAUUUCAUACAAAUUAUUAAUAUUUAUUUCCAUUUUUCUUACAGAUAUCCUGUACUGUCCCUCCACUCUCUCCUAUCAUUUUGGACAUUCUGCCUUUCUAUCUCUCCUCUAUCCAACUCUGACUAUUUGAACAGCUAUUGCCAGCCUUUACAACCUAUUUUGAAAGCCUUUACCACAGCCUUUGACAGCCUUUAAAAACCGUUGUGAAAGCCUUUAAGAAAGGCUUUGACUGCCUUUGACAGCCUUUCUACCACUUUUAGAGCCUUAAAAACGGGCAUUCAGACACUUUGAGAACACUUUUUGGAAACAAGCUUUUCUUUUUCAACUGAUCGCGUGUAAAAGCAAUACUUUUGAAACAGCAAAAUCUUUGAAA